GUGCCAGCCGCCGCGGUAAUACGGAGGGUGCAAGCGUUAAUCGGAAUUACUGGGCGUAAAGCGUGCGUAGGCGGCUUGAUAAGCCAGAUGUGAAAGCCCUGGGCUUAACCUGGGAACUGCAUUUGGAACUGUUAGGCUAGAGUUGAGUAGAGGUAAGUGGAAUUUCAGGUGUAGCGGUGAAAUGCGUAGAGAUCUGAAGGAACACCAGUGGCGAAGGCGACUUACUGGACUCAAACUGACGCUGAGGUACGAAAGCGUGGGUAGCAAACAGGAUUAGAUACCCCUGUAGUCC
rnacentral:rRNA from 1 species